rnacentral:rRNA from 1 species
GUCUACGGCCAUGCCACCCUGAACAAGUACGAUCCCAUCUGAUCUCGGAAGCUAAGCAGGGUCGGGCCUGGUUAGUAUUUGAAUAGGAGACCACCUAGGAAGACUGUGUGCUGUAGGCG